AACGAACGCUGGCGGCAGGCCUAACACAUGCAAGUCGAGCGAAGCCUUCGGGCUUAGCGGCGGACGGGUGAGUAACGCGUGGGAACGUGCCCUUUGGUACGGAAUAGCCCCGGGAAACUGGGAGUAAUACCGUAUGUGGUCGAGAGACGAAAGAUUUAUCGCCAAAGGAUCGGCCCGCGUUGGAUUAGGGAGUUGGUGGGGUAAUGGCCUACCAAGCCGACGAUCCAUAGCUGGUUUGAGAGGAUGAUCAGCCACACUGGGACUGAGACACGGCCCAGACUCCUACGGGAGGCAGCAGUGGGGAAUCUUAGACAAUGGGGGAAACCCUGAUCUAGCCAUGCCGCGUGAUCGAUGGAGGCCUUAGGGUUGUAAAGAUCUUUCAGUGGGGAAGAUAAUGACUGUACCCACAGAAGAAGCCCCGGCUAACUCCGUGCCAGCCGCCGCGGUAAGAC
rnacentral:rRNA from 1 species